AAAAGAUGCCCAAGAAUUUGAUUCCUACUCAUCUUAUUACUAAGGAUAUAACAUUUCGAUGUUUGGUUCGCACAGUCAUAUCAUCUAAGAUUACCAAAAAGAUAGAUUAAUGUGUUUGGUUCGCGUAGUCAUAUUAUCUUAGAUUACCAAUAAGAUAGAUUAAUGUGUUUGUUUCAUUAGCUAGCAAUAUUAGUAGUAAUAUAAAAUUAAAACUAACCAGUUCAAACAAAUUCGACAUAUCUAUUGCAAAUUAACUAUAAAAUUUGCAUCACAAUAUUCAAACAAGCUCAAAGAUUCUAAUAUUGAAACAGUAAUAGCAUCAUCAUCAAUAAAGACAAAAAAAUAAAAAUUUUUAAGCAACAUCAGAUAUCCAUAACAAGUCCAAACAAGAAAGCAACAUCUAUCAUAGAAAGUAAAUAACAAAUAAGUUCAACACUUCAUAGACAUUGAAAAUAUAAACAAAAUACCAAAGUUUAAUAUCCUCUAGUCAUUGCAAAAUAUAAAACAACUUCAUUUACGUGCAGUUAGAACAUACUCAAUAUAGUCCUUUCUAAACUCUGCAGGAAUUCCGUAAAAUCCAGUUAGUUUGGUUGUAUCAGAUAUUAAGAUAUCGUAAGCAAUCAUACGAUCCUUAUCGACGAGUCCCUCAACCUUCAAAAGCUCUUCAAANNNNN
rnacentral:lncRNA from 1 species